AUGGUUUCAGCCGGAUGUUCCCUUGUAAUAUUACAGCUAGCUUAGCAGUGACAGAAAGUCGGAGAAUCCUGUGGAUGAAAGAAAAGGCUGACAUGACAGAUGAUGUCAGAAUCUACAAGCUGCUGGCAUAUUGAACACAGAUUGAGCUCCAGCAGCUCCCAGAUCUCAGGUCUGCUCUGCUUGCUUACUGGGCCAGUCCAGGCGGCACAUGUGCCCCACGGUUCCGUUGAUCUUCGGGAAGGACUUGAGGGCGCUGAAGACAGGAUAGGGCACCAUAACGAGCAGGGAC